UGGGCUUUGUAAGACAAUGCGAUGACAAUGGUUCCUAUGCAACACAUUGUCGAUUUCCCGGACGCCAAGAAGACGUAAACGGCGUAGGGGCAAAACGCACUGUGAAACGCCAAUCGGACUGCACGUCGCGAAUGUUUGCAGAAACUUAGGAGGAACUUGAAGAGAAACAGGAUAAGAAGAUUCCGAACGUACGGUGAAGAGGAAGGGGGUGUCGCGACCCGCAUGGAAAACAGGAGUGUCAUGUGUCAUCUUCUCUAAGAAAAUACAAGAUGUGAGGUGGCCAACGAACGAAAGCUCCCUGUAUUCCGUGAGUGCAUCGCACAGUCAGGCAUAUGCUUUGUCAAGACACAAUUUCUGCCUGGGUCAGGCGUCAGUUCACCAAGCAUUCCAGUUCCGA